ensembl:misc_RNA Metazoa_SRP Metazoan signal recognition particle RNA
GCUGGGUGUGGUGGCGCACACCUGUAAUCCCAGCUACUCAGGAGGCUGAGGCAGAAGAAUCACUUGAACCCGGGAGGUGGAGAUUGCAGUGAGCCGAGAUCGUGCCACUGCACUCCAGCCUGGUGACAGAGGGAGACACUGUCUCAAAAAAAAAAAAAAAAAAAAAAAAAGCCAGGCGAAAGGAUUGCUUGAACCCAGAAGUUCAAGGUAACAGUGGGCUAUGAUUGUACCACUGCAUUUCAGCCUGGGCAAUAGAGUGAGAUACUGUCUCUU